UAGUCAUAUGCUUGUCUCAAAGAUUAAGCCAUGCAUGUCUAAGUAUAAGCAAUUAUACAGUGAAACUGCGAAUGGCUCAUUAAAUCAGUUAUAGUUUAUUUGAUGGUUACUUACUACAUGGAUAACUGUGGUAAUUCUAGAGCUAAUACAUGCUUAAAAGCCCCGACUUUUUGGAAGGGGUGUAUUUAUUAGAUUCAAACCAACAUUAUGUGGUGAUUCAUAAUAACUGAACGAAUCGCAUGCCCUUGCGGCGGCGAUGCUUCAUUCAAAUAUCUGC
rnacentral:rRNA from 1 species